rnacentral:rRNA from 1 species
GACGAACGCUGGCGGCGUGCCUAAUACAUGCAAGUAGAACGCUGAAGGAGGAGCUUGCUUCUCUGGAUGAGUUGCGAACGGGUGAGUAACGCGUAGGUAACCUGCCUGGUAGCGGGGGAUAACUAUUGGAAACGAUAGCUAAUACCGCAUAAUAUUGACUAUUGCAUGAUAGUCAGUUGAAAGGUGCAACUGCACCACUACCAGAUGGUCCUGCGUUGUAUUAUCUAGUUGGUGGGGUAACGGCUCACCAAGGCGACGAUACAUAGCCGACCUGGGAGGGGGGUCGGCCACACUGGGACUGGGACACGGCCCAGACUCCUACGGGGGGCAGCAGGAGGGAAUCUUCGGGAAUGGACGGAAGUCUUGCCGAGCAACGCCGCGUGGGGGAAGAAGGGUUUCGGGUCGUAAAGCUCUGUUGUAAGGGAAGAACGAGUGUGAGAGUGGAAAGCGCACACUGUGACGGUACCUAACCAGAAAGGGACGGCUAACUACGUG